ACAUGCAGUCGAGCGAAUGGAUUGAGAGCUUGCUCUCAAGAAGUUAGCGGCGGACGGNUGANUAACACGUGGGUAACCUGCCCAUAAGACUGGGAUAACUCCGGGAAACCGGGGCUAAUACCGGAUAACAUUUUGAACUGCAUGGUUCGAAAUUGAAAGGCGGCUUCGGCUGUCACUUAUGGAUGGACCCGCGUCGCAUUAGCUAGUUGGUGAGGUAACGGCUCACCAAGGCAACGAUGCGUAGCCGACCUGAGAGGGUGAUCGGCCACACUGGGACUGAGACACGGCCCAGACUCCUACGGGAGGCAGCAGUAGGGAAUCUUCCGCAAUGGACGAAAGUCUGACGGAGCAACGCCGCGUGAGUGAUGAAGGCUUUCGGGUCGUAAAACUCUGUUGUUAGGGAAGAACAAGUGCUAGUUGAAUAAGCUGGCACCUUGACGGUACCUAACCAGAAAGCCACGGCUAACUACGUGCCAGCAGCCGCGGUAAUACGUAGGUGGCAAGCGUUAUCCGGAAUUAUUGGGCGUAAAGCGCGCGCAGGUGGUUUCUUAAGUCUGAUGUGAAAGCCCACGGCUCAACCGUGGAGGGUCAUUGGAAACUGGGAGACUUGAGUGCAGAAGAGGAAAGUGGAAUUCCAUGUGUAGCGGUGAAAUGCGUAGAGAUAUGGAGGAACACCAGUGGCGAA
rnacentral:rRNA from 1 species